UCUAUUUGAGAAAAAAAGCAAAGAAAUUAUUUUGGUCUGGAUUAACGAACAAGUCCCAUGAAUCAUUGGAGAUUUUAAAUCAUCGCAAGGUAUUCCCGAGUGUUCCGUUCUAAAGGGCAUGGUUUCACGAUAGUUGGAUUAUAAAUGAGAUUAUAGAAAGCCACGCGAGUCGUUGUCACUGUCGUAAGAUCUGUUGUUCUCAGUGCAAUAAAGGGAGU
rnacentral:misc_RNA from 1 species